UACGAAGGGAGCUAGCGUUGUUCGGAAUCACUGGGCGUAAAGCGUGCGCAGGCGGCUUACUAAGCCAGAGGUGAAAUGCCAGGGCUCAACCCUGGAACUGCCUUUGGAACUGGAAAGCUGGAGUACUGGAGAGGUUAGGGGAAUUUCUAAUGUAGCGGUGAAAUGCGUAGAUAUUAGAAGGAACACCAGUGGCGAAGGCGCCUAACUGGACAGUCACUGACGCUCAUGCACGAAAGCGUGGGGAUCAAACAGG
rnacentral:rRNA from 1 species